AAGAAAGCAUGCAAGAGCUGCUAACUCAUGAUCCCGUGUUUAAACACACGGCUUUCUUG
rnacentral:tRNA from 1 species